rnacentral:lncRNA from 1 species
ACAGAUGACAGGGACCAUGAGCCUGGUUGGGCAGUGUCCAGAUCCACAGGCUUUGUCAUCCCAGUGCCAGAAGCUGCGCCUGAUUGUUCUGUGUUUACAAAAGCAGCACCGUAUUCUGUCCUGGAGAGAUAAAAUGUGGUAACAGCCUUAAAAUCCUGCAGCCUCCUCCAUGAUUUGUAUGUUGAGAGAAAGGUAAUUUCCAAAAUGCUGAUAUGGAAAAGCACUUUUAUGCUUAUGCCCUGCUUCCAGGACUCAGCCAGGUCUCAUACAUAUGUUAACAAGAUAUGGUCCAAACUACAUCCCAGGGAGGCAAGCGCCAAAUUGACUAGCCUCUGGUGUUCCUGGAAGCUGCA